GACGUAGGGCGCGAGCGUUGUCCGGAUUUAUUGGGCGUAAAGAGCUCGUAGGCGGUUUGUCGCGUCGGAUGUGGAAUUUUAGGGCUCAACCCUGACAUUGCAUCCGAUACGGGCAGGCUAGAGUUCGGUAGGGGAGACUGGAAUUCCUGGUGUAGCGGUGAAAUGCGCAGAUAUCAGGAGGAACACCGGUGGCGAAGGCGGGUCUCUGGGCCGAUACUGACGCUGAGGAGCGAAAGCGUGGGGAGCGAACAGG
rnacentral:rRNA from 1 species